GUGAUGUCCCAAAUGUUCCUCGUCACGAGUAGAAUGUCCCAACAACACUCAAUCCAAUGAACACCAUCAUUCCAGGGACCAUCAAUUUCCCUUCACCAGAUGUGUCCACCGGGACGCUGUCGGCUACCGGGCUUGAUGCCAAGGCAGGCUUCUUCUUUGGCUUUGCUGGGGCAGGCGCCGGCGCAGGUGGCUUCGGGCCGAAUAUGCUCAUUGGAAGCAGAACCUUGUCGACCAUAUACACAGCCAACUGGCCAUCGUUAUAUACUGUUUGGUCCACUGUUGCAUUGGUGACACCAGUCGAUAUGUUCACACUGCUACCGGAUGUAGUCAAAGUCAGUGGGAACUCGAACUUCCCGCUCCCGCCUGCUUGUGUCCUCAGCGGAUUGCUGACUGUUUGGAAUUGGGGCACAGCCAAGUAUGUCGGGACUACAUGGAACUGCACGAGCUCAACCUGCUGCUCAGACGAGAGCUGGUUCAAAGUCCCAGACUUGAGGCUCGAGAAGGCAUUGUCAUUCGGGGCGAAGAUGGUUAGGCCAUUGUUCGAGUUGUUAAGUUGCGCGUUGAUCUGUUUGUCGACUGAGGUGGCCCUCAUGAGCUUGAGCAGCACCGUAAAUUGGCUCGCCUUCUUGAGGACCUUCGUGAUGUCGGUUGGGCCUGCAGGAGCUGGGCCUAAGACAGGAGGAGCCGGGCCUAAGGCAGGCGUAGCAGGUGCAGCCGGGGCUAUCACAGGCGGAGCUGGGGCGGCCGCAGGCUGAGCCAAGGUGGUAGAGCAUUGGAAGAGCAGGACCAGUAGGAGCAGAAAUGACAGUCUCUUCAUCAUGUUUUUUGCUUUGCUCUUGGUAAGAGGGGGAUUGUGAAGAGAGGACAGUGAAGAAGUGGUACUUGAAGAAGGCUUUUGGUUGUGUGAGGAAAGAGGAGGGAGAGAGUGGCAAUUUAUUUGAAAUCUGGGAAAGAGAGUGGUGCUCAUCAAAGUGGGAGAAAAUGAAAUUAGGUGAGAGGUUCCAAUUUUUAGUUAGGGGAAUUCAGUAGUUAGCACCUCAAUGAUAAGUGUUGUGCGAAAAGCAAAAACAUGGAUGGAAUAAAUGGAGAGAGAGAGAGAGAGAGAGAGAGCCGGGGGAUCAUUCACUGUUACAGCAACUAGUUUGCUUGAGAAAGCAGGAAAAAUAGUAGAGGGAGAUCAAAUGGACAUGGC
rnacentral:lncRNA from 1 species